UUGAAAGGGAAACGAUUGAAGUCAGUCAUGCUUGCAGGGAAUCAGCAUGGUGGUUUUCUUCCUUGUGCACUUCCUUGCUUGGCAGGUUAGCAUCAAUUUUGAUUGUCAUUAAAGAACCGGGGUAAUGUGGCUUCUUCGGGAGUGUUAUAGACCUUGGUAGAUGUGACGAUCGGGAUUGAGGAUUGCAGCGAAUGCUUCUUGGCUAGUCACCUGGCUUCUGACGGUUACCUUGCUUCCGAUAGCUUGCUAACGGUGGUGAGAUUUGAUUGUCUAGAUGUUAGUGUGAUCAUAAAUUCGCUAAGGAUGCUGACGUAAUGGCUUUAAACGACCCGUCUUGAAACACGGACCA
rnacentral:rRNA from 1 species